AACGAACGCUGGCGGUAUGCCUAACACAUGCAAGUCGAACGAGACCUCCGGGUUUAGUGGCGCUUGGGUGCGUAACGCGUGGGAACCUGCCCUUAGGCUCGGAAUAACUCCCUGAAAGGGGUGCUAAUACCGGAUAACGUCUUCGGACCAAAGAUUCUUCGCAUUUGGAUGGGCCCGCGUUGUAUUAGCUAGUUGGUAGGGUAAGAGCCUACCAAGGCGUCGAUCCUUAGCUGGUCUGAGAGGAUAGUCAGCCACACUUGGACUGGGACACGGCCCAGACUCUUACGGGAUGCAGCAGUGGGGAAUAUUGGAAAAUGGGGGGAAGCAUGAACCAGCUAUGCCGCGUGAGUGAUGAAGGUCUUAGAGUAGUAAAGCUCUUUUACCCGGGAUGAUAAUGACAGUACCGAGAGAAUAAGCUCCGGCUAACUCCGUG
rnacentral:rRNA from 1 species